UCUUUUGGGUCUUAUAAUUGGAAUGAGUACAAUUUAAAUCCCUUAACGAGGAUCAAUUGGAGGGCAAGUCUGGUGYCAGCAGCCGCGGWAAUUCCAGCUSCRAUAGCGUAUAUYAAAGUYGYUGCCGUUAAARAGCUCGUAGUCSAACUUCGGCUUCUGCCGCCCGGWCCGCCUUUUUGGGUGUGUACUGGAGCGGUGGAGGCUUACCUCGWGGYGAGCAAUCAUACCCUUCACUGGGCGUGGWUGGRAACCAUGAYUWUUACUUUGAAAAAAUKAGAGYGKUCAAAGMAGGCUKACGCCCGAAUACAUUASCAUGGAAUARURMARUAGGACGUGCGGUUCURUWUUGUUGGUUUCUAGGAUCGCCGUAAUGAUUAAUAGGGAUAGUUGGGGGCAUUCSUAUUCAAUUGCKAGAKGUGAAAUUCUUGGAUYUAUUGAAGACGAACUACUGCGAAAGMAUUUGCCAAGGAUGUUUUCAUUGAUCWRKAACGAAGGUUAGGGGAUCGAAAACGAUCAGAUACCGUUGUAGUCUUAACAGUAAACGAUGCCGACUAGGGAUCGGACGAGGAUUUUUAAUGACUCGUUCGGCACCUGAAGAGAAAUCUUUAAGUCUAGGUUCGGGGGGGAGUAUGGUCGCAAGGCUGAAACUUAAAGGAAUUGACGGAAGGGCACCACCAGGUGUGGAGCCUGCGGCUUAAUUUGACUCACACGGGGAAACUCACCAGGUCCAGACACGACAAGGAUUGACAGAUUGAUAGCUCUUUCUUGAUUUCGUGGUUGGUGGUGCAUGGCCGUUCUUA
rnacentral:rRNA from 1 species